rnacentral:rRNA from 1 species
GACGAACGCUGGCGGCGUGCUUAACACAUGCAAGUCGAGCGGUAAGGCCCUUUCGGGGGUACACGAGCGGCGAACGGGUGAGUAACACGUGGGUGACCUGCCCUCAGCUCUGGGAUAAGCCUGGGAAACUGGGUCUAAUACUGGAUAUGACUCCACGGUGCAUGUCGUGGGGUGGAAAGCCUUGUGCGGCUGAGGAUGGGCCCGCGGCCUAUCAGCUUGUUGGUGGGGUGANGGCCUACCAAGGCGACGACGGGUAGCCGGCCUGAGAGGGCGACCGGCCACACUGGGACUGAGACACGGCCCAGACUCCUACGGGAGGCAGCAGUGGGGAAUCUUGCGCAAUGGGCGAAAGCCUGACGCAGCGACG